rnacentral:rRNA from 1 species
UACGUAGGGUGCGAGCGUUAAUCGGAAUUACUGGGCGUAAAGCGUGCGCAGGCGGUUUUGUAAGUCAGAUGUGAAAUCCCCGGGCUUAACCUGGGAACUGCGUUUGAAACUACAAGGCUAGAGUACGUCAGAGGGGGGUAGAAUUCCACGUGUAGCAGUGAAAUGCGUAGAGAUGUGGAGGAAUACCGAUGGCGAAGGCGGCUCACUGGCCCGGUACUGACACUGAGAUGCGAAAGCGUGGGGAGCAAACAGG